rnacentral:lncRNA from 1 species
CCGCCGAUGUCGAACGUAAUGAGUUCUACUUGGGUCCUUUCUUCAACAAUGCGGAGGCAGUUGAACAAGCGGCGGUGGGUCAGCUGUUUCCUUGCACUCAAGGUCCUCCUUUUCUGAACUCUCUGUCGUUGGGGCCACUUCGCGAAAGAGGUAUUCGCACUUGGCCUAAAUCUGAUGUAGCUUUUCGUAGGUGGCAUGCUCGCCUUGUGGGUCAUGGUCCUACUAAGGCAUUUUUUGAUAGCGCUAGGAUUUCUGACUUGUUAGAAAUCUCUAUUC